rnacentral:lncRNA from 1 species
UGUUGACUUUAAUUAGAAGCAUCAGCUUCUUCUCCUUCAACCGACCACCGCCACCAUGGCCACACACACGCAGGCAUGAAAGGGGGAGAGAAACCCUCCUUUCUCUCUCUAAAUAUCUCUCUCAUCUCUCUAUAUCUCUCUUUAAAAAUUAGAGGGUUGGUGGAGAUCGAGCUUGCGAACGCGUUGGAGGCGACGGAUUGAGCUUUCGUGCGCCCGUUGGAGCGGCGUGUUUUCGUUGCGGCGUUCACAUUGGGGUAAGCUUUUGGGAUUUGGUUUAAUCCUUAGCUUUAAGUGCACUAAUAGCCUCUAAUGAGCAUUGAUAGCAUGUUGUUCCAUUUAAUUGGGAUUAUUUGGAGGUUAAUUCAUGUUAGGGCUCAAAAAUGCUAAUUUUCAAAAUAUGAGGGUUUGAUCUAAUUUGACCCUCCGUAAACCAAAUUGCUAGGUAAACGAACGCGUUGGCGAAGACGGUUCGGUAAUCCGACGAGCCGUUACAAAGUUGUUAAAGAAACGGACGUUUAGGCUUCGUUACCGCCUGGAGGGCCGAGGCGACGUCGUAAAAUCGUGGAAAUGGAUUUGAAGCACCGUGGCACAUAACCGAAGACCUUUAAUUUUCGGAUCAUGGAUUGGAGGCCGUUCGGGUGGUCGCGUAAAAGAUCGGGCCAAACCGGGUUACGGAGACCGCGGGAGGCCGAUUGCAAGUGUCGACAAGCAAUCGGAAAGCGUUUUGAGGUGGGUCGUGCUCACCGAAGCGAUUAGGUCGCUUUCCAUGCUAAAGUGUAGUAUGUUUACUAUUGAUGCAUGAUAAAGUAUGCUAUUUAAGAAUGAAUGAUAAAGAUUAAAGUAUGCUAUUUAAGAAUGAAUGAUAAAGAUUAAAGUAUGCUAUUUAAGAAUGAAUGAUAAAGAUUAAAGUAUGCUAUUUAAGAAUGCAUGAUAAAGAUUAAAGUAUGCUAUUUAAGAAUGCAUGAUAAAGAUAGAUGUCAAAUGAAUGCAUGAGUUAAUGUUAAUUUACAUGAGCAUAUUAUAGAAAUGUUAAACAGAUGUCAAAUGAAAGUAUGAGAUUUAUUCUAACCGAGAAUGCAUGUGGUAAAUGUUAAUGAAUGAAUAAAAUGCUAAAUGAUGACUACCAAUGGAUGACAAAAUAUCCACAUAAUGAACAUAGAUCGAGUAGCAUUUGAAAAUGGUAAAAUGGACACUAGAGUUAGUGUGGGCAUCAAAGAAUAAAUGUUGUGUAAAGAACAAUGAUAAUGGCUAGAGGUAAUGUAAAGUAAUGUGGCAUAAAGAAUAAGCAAAGUGUAAAGAAUAAUGAUAAUGGCUAGAGACAAUGUAAAGUAAUGUGGCAUAAAGAACAAGCAAAGUGUAAAGAACAAUGAUAAUGGCUAAAGUUAGCAACCAAUGUGACAUAAAGAACACUAGAGUUAGUGUGUGGCAAUAAAAGAACAAGUGUGGUAUCAAGAAUGAUAAUUACUAAAGUAAUUGAUAAUUGUGGUAUAAAGAAUAAUGAUUGCUAGAGUUAGCAACUAAUGUGAUGUAAAGAACACUAGAGUUAGUGUAAAACCAUGAUCCAACUAAAUAUCCUUAGAGUUAAGGAUUGAUCAUACUUGCUAUGAGUUCCGUGCUCGAGGGCGGUCGCUCCCCCUCGAGCGAUGCGCUCCGGAGUUUUGCAUCACGGGUUGGAGUAAACCCAAGGACGGUCCUAGCGGGUGAGUUCCUGCGAUGAUGGACUUAAUGUGAAACAAGUUAAUGUGGCGAAACCUACGGGUUAGCCAGAAAGAAUUGUGAAUUUGAAAGUGGAUCUUGUAUACAUUAUGAAUUGACUCAAGACCGAGUCGAGUGGCAUAGUUGGCUAAGGUAAAUGUAACGUUAGGAAAGAGUGAUAAGUGAGAAAGACUUGUUAAUGUUAUAAAGAAUGGCAAAUGUGUAUGAUGAGCCUAAGGCGCGAGUGCCCUUAGUAAAGGAUAAAGAACAAAGAAUAAAGCAUAAGGAAUAAAGCAUAAAGAAUAAAGAAUAAAGAAUAAAGAUUAAAGAAUAAAGAAUGGCUAAUGAUAAAGAAUUACUUAUUCUAAAGAAAGGCUAAUGGUAAAGAAUGACUAAGAGUUGCAUAAUUUGCAUAUUUGUGAGGCAUGAACAUGUAUUGCAUGAUGUUAUAUGUAUAUAUAUCUGUUGGACUAACAUGUUGCAGUGCCUCCUUUGGACCUGGUGGGUUGAGCUCUUCCCUUGGGUGGCUGUACCCACUGAGGACUAUGGACAAUAGUUUCACCCCCGUGUUGUUGUUUUUGGGGGUACAGGUUCACACGCGAGCGGCGCGGCGGCGCGAGGAAAGGGCGUAGCUCCGUAGUUAGCGCCCUACCACAGAGACCAGAUAGCAGCACCCUGAGUCGGCUUCUUAGGGGUAUAAGAAAAGAAAAGAAAAGAAUCGAUGUGGUAAUAUUAUGUUUAGAAAUCGAUUGUAUAUUUGGAAGUUGAGGAUCAUUGUAAUGAAAAAUGCGAUGUAAAAUGAUGAGAUGAAUGAUUGUAAUAAUAUAGGAUGUGUUAUGUUGUUUGAUACCUUCCUUAUGCAAUCGUGGUUGAAAAUUGUUCCUGUUUGGAACCUCUUGUACUUGUAUUGAUUGCGACGCCUUGAACGUACAGGGGAGGCUCUGUCCGCGUGCAGGGAAAGUCCUGUCCGUUCGGCGGUCUGUUGGCGUGCCCGAAUCCGACCAAAUAGGCGGGCUCGGGGCGUGACA